rnacentral:lncRNA from 1 species
ACUGGGGGAAGGCGCGCGGUCCGGCCACCCGGAGCCCUGCGCCCCAUCCUCCUCCCACCCCCAUAUCCUGCUAGAUACGACAGAUGAGAGGGCUUGAAAUGAAUCCAAAUUCCCGGGAUCUUGAUUAUGUUGUGGAGAUUGGAGAAAAGGGGGCCGUUUUGGUUUUGCUUUGUUUUUAUUAAGUUUGGCUGCUGGCGGGAACUCAGGCUCCCCACUCCCGUUGACUAAAGUGUCUACAAUGUGUGGUGUCAGACAGUGUGGGGGAGACAGGGAAGUGUAAAAUUCAGGGAGCUUAUGCAUUAAUUUAGCAACAUUCUAAGUGCCAAUUAUAGACCAGGCAUAGUAGCAAGCCCUGGGGACUCAACAAGGAGGGAGUUAGUCAGCUCUCCUAUUGCAUAUCUGUAGAGACAGAUCUGUAUGCAAUUAAUUGUAGCAAGGUGUCAGGACAAGUUAAGUGCUGGACAAGCAUCCCUGGCCUCGCUGCAUUGGCCAGGAGAGAUUUUGCUAAGGAGAGUGAGACUGAUCCCUUCUUGAAGAAUGAGUCUCAGAGGAGAGGAAGAGCAGUCCAGGUAGCAUGUGCAAAAGUUUGCAAGGGACCAAAGCUUUCUGGGAAAAGGAUGAGAAUCUUUGCUAGCCAGGUGGAGCAGGAGCCCGUGUGAAGGCAAUGGGGAGGUGAGUCAGGAGGGUGCUAGAGCCAAAUCACAGCUUGCAGGUAGCUGUUGAAUGUGCAACACAAACCGAGGGCCUCAGUUUCCCACCUCCUCACCUGCAACAUAGGGAUAGUACCUGUCUUAAAGAAUUGUUGGAAGGAUUAAUGAGUUAAUGUUUGCAAAGUGCCCAGAACAGUGCCUGCACUGUAAGUACAGUAUAAGUACAAUAUAAGGGUUAGCUGUUUCAAUAUAGUACUCAAUCAGCCAACCAUUCAGUCUCCACCAUGUUGCCAUCUUGGCCUACAUCUGCAUCCUUGGACACAUGUUUGAAAAAUCUAGUGAAUUUUAUUAACAAAAAUGAGUAGAAGAAAGAAAAAUGAAAGUGCUGAUUCUGGUAGUAAGCAUAAGUCUCACACAAUGAACUAGAGACAAAGAUAGAAGUUAAUAGGUAUGCAGAUACAAAGCUUUGAUUUCAAACACAGUUCUAUAUCUGACACCUCUGUUUUACUAUAAAGGAAAAAAACUAAAGAGUAGUGUCUACUACCCAGCAGGCAUGCAAUCAAUCAACUAAAUGAACAACAAUGAUAUUAUAAUUUAGAUAUAUUGUUGAAUUUCACAUCUCUAAGACAAAAUAUAUUUAUUUAGACAUUAUAUUCAAUAUUCUGGGAACAGAACCCUUAUUAUGACAUGCAAAGCUGUUGUUCUUUCACACUUCGAUUUUAGCACUCGUGUAAUAGACAAAUGAUUGCCUGCUUAAUGUAACAGUUUUAGAUUUUGAGUCUAGACUCUCCCAAUCCCCCCAUUCACAAAGAUGAAGCCUCUCCUUUUAGGGGAGUCUGACCCUUGGCAGGACUAGACUAAAAUAAUCCUCUUUUCCUUGUACUUAGUUCAGAAAGCAAAGUGACAGAUGUUUCGGCAAAUGGGAUAGAGUGGUAUCUAAUGGGGCCCAGAUGGUCUCUCUUCUUUUCAAAGUUAUUGAAUCUGGAUGUUAUACUUGAAAUAGCUGUUUCCAACUUGGUACCAUCCUCAAGACAGACCCAACAACAUUGAGGACAACAAAGCAGAAAGUUGAAAAAACCUGGACCAUUGAAAUCAUCCCAUUCUGAAGCCAAGUGUAGUUUGAGUUUUGUCUGUUUGUGCAUAUAUAUAUGUAUGUGUGAAUUGUGGGGGAGAGGCAUCCUAAAUAAUGACAUAAUAAAGAAGUUAGCCUGUGAUUAAUUAUCACUAGCAUCGCUCCUCCUUUCUCCUCUUUUUUCUCCUGUGUUGAACUCAGUCAUGGUGCCUGAAACUCUAAGACAAUAUUGUGACUAGAGGAAAAAUACAAGAAAAUUGCAGACCUGCCAGCCAGGAUGCUGUUGAACCAUGUAACCAACAUGUAACCAGUAUCAGCCAAUAUCAGCUUUCAUCUAUUUCCAGAUAUAUGUGUGUGUGUGUGUGUGCAUAUAUAUAUAUACACACAUAUACAUAUAUAUCCCUUAAUGUGUUUGACUUUGGGUUCUGUUACUUAUAGUUGAAGAUAUUCCUAACUGAUAAAGG